GACGAACGCUGGCGGCGUGCUUAACACAUGCAAGUCGAACGGAAAGGCCCUGCUUUUGUGGGGUGCUCGAGUGGCGAACGGGUGAGUAACACGUGAGUAACCUACCCUUGACUUUGGGAUAACUGCAGGAAACUGGGGCUAAUACCGGAUAGGAGCUCCUGCUGCAUGGUGGGGGUUGGAAAGUUUCGGCGGUUGGGGAUGGACUCGCGGCUUAUCAGCUUGUUGGUGGGGUAGUGGCUUACCAAGGCUUUGACGGGUAGCCGGCCUGAGAGGGUGACCGGCCACAUUGGGACUGAGAUACGGCCCAGACUCCUACGGGAGGCAGCAGUGGGGAAUAUUGCACAAUGGGCGGAAGCCUGAUGCAGCAACGCCGCGUGCGGGAUGACGGCCUUCGGGUUGUAAACCGCUUUCGCCUGUGACGAAGCGUGAGUGACGGUAAUGGGUAAAGAAGCACCGGCUAACUACGUG
rnacentral:rRNA from 1 species